rnacentral:lncRNA from 1 species
GAACAGGUGAACAGAGACAAGCACACAGAAACUCAAUUGUACACACGCGGACCUGGGAAGGAAUCGAUCUUAGCCACUCUUCUUUUGGCUCGACUCUGAAGUCGCCCCAGGCCCCCACACCCUGGCUCCGUUUUCUUUUGUUGCUCAGGGUUUCCAUGGAGACGGAGCUGUGAAGUCGAGCCGCCCCAGACGCGUUUGGGCGGCGUCUCUCCCUCUCUCCUUCCCCCUCCUCUCUCUCUCUCCCUCUACCUCCUCUCUCCUCUCCUCUCCUCUCUCCCUCUCUCUCCCUUUCUCCCCUCUGUCCCUCCCCUUCUCUCUCCCUCCCCUCCCUCUCCCUCUCUCCGUUUCUCUCCCGCUCUCUCUAUUUCCACCUUCCCCUCCCUUUUCGGUCUCUGGGGCUCAACCAACCCCACCCUCCUGGCUAGUCUGGACUGUAGUGCGAUAGGAAUGAGAGGAAGAGCUUGUAAAGGUUAGGGGACAAAGAAUGGGCAGGGAGCGCCUAGCAGAAUCUAAGCACUAAGCAAGGGUGGGAAGAGGAAAACUGAGACAACUGGAUCCAGGAUAAGGUGCCUCAAAUUCUAAAUAGAAUUUGGUUUGAGUGUCAAUCAGAGGCAUCUGAACUUAUAAUUCGGCAACAAUAAGACAAUGAAACGGCUACAGUUUAUCACUGGAAUGAUGUCCGGCACCGGAGUAGGGGCUCCAGAGUAGGAGUUUGGCCAGGGUCAGGUGGCAGGAAACAGGAAACACUGGCAAGAAAGAAUAACUCACAAGCUACACCCUUCUCAUGCUCACUUCUACAAGUAAACUUCAGGACUUUGUGAAAGGCAUCAAUCUCCCUUGGAGAAAGGUGAUUGGAGAAGACUUUAAGAGAUAUUUAUUCCUGCCUCCCUGUGGGCCACAUUCUAGGCACACCCACGUGGACACACAUAUCUACAUGAGCAACAGAAAACAAGGGGGUACCCUUGGCCCCUUACUAUUACUGUAG